rnacentral:rRNA from 1 species
GCUAAUACCGCAUAAAACCUAGCACCGCAUGGUGCAAGGUUGAAAGAUGGUUUCGGCUAUCACUUUAGGAUGGACCCGCGGUGCAUUAGUUAGUUGGUGAGGUAAAGGCUCACCAAGACCGUGAUGCAUAGCCGACCUGAGAGGGUAAUCGGCCACACUGGGACUGAGACACGGCCCAGACUCCUACGGGAGGCAGCAGUAGGGAAUCUUCCACAAUGGACGAAAGUCUGAUGGAGCAACGCCGCGUGAGUGAAGAAGGUUUUCGGAUCGUAAAACUCUGUUGUUGGAGAAGAACGUAUUUGAUAGUAACUGAUCAGGUAGUGACGGUAUCCAACCAGAAAGCCACGGCUAACUACGUGCCAGCAGCCGCGGUAAUACGUAGGUGGCAAGCGUUGUCCGGAUUUAUUGGGCGUAAAGCGAGCGCAGGCGGUUUCUUAAGUCUGAUGUGAAAGCCUUCGGCUCAACCGAAGAAGUGCAUCGGAAACUGGGAAACUUGAGUGCAGAAGAGGACAGUGGAACUCCAUGUGUAGCGGUGAAAUGCGUAGAUAUAUGGAAGAACACCAGUGGCGAAGGCGGCUGUCUGGUCUGUAACUGACGCUGAGGCUCGAAAGCAUGGGUAGCAAACAGGAUUAGAUACCCUGGUAGUCCAUGCCGUAAACGAUGAGUGCUAGGUGUUGGAGGGUUUCCGCCCUUCAGUGCCGCAGCUAACGCAUUAAGCACUCCGCCUGGGGAGUACGACCGCAAGGUUGAAACUCAGAGGAAUUGACGGCGGCCCGCACAAGCGGUGGAGCAUGUGGUUUAAUUCGAAGCAACGCGAAGAACCUUACCAGGUCUUGACAUCCUUUGACCACUCUAGAGAUAGAGCUUUCCCUUCGGGGACAAAGUGACAGGUGGUGCAUGGUUGUCGUCAGCUCGUGUCGUGAGAUGUUGGGUUAAGUCCCGCAACGAGCGCAACCCUUAUUACUAGUUGCCAGCAUUUAGUUGGGCCCUCUAGUGAGACUGCCGGUGACCAACCGGAGGAAGGUGGGGACGACGUCAAUCAUCCUGCCCCUAUGACCUGGGC